UACGUAGGGUGCAAGCGUUGUCCGGAAUUAUUGGGCGUAAAGAGCUCGUAGGCGGUCUGUCACGUCGGCUGUGAAAACCCGAGGCUCAACCUCGGGCCUGCAGUCGAUACGGGCAGACUAGAGUUCGGUAGGGGAGACUGGAAUUCCUGGUGUAGCGGUGAAAUGCGCAGAUAUCAGGAGGAACACCGGUGGCGAAGGCGGUUCUCUGGGCAUGUCCUGACGCUGAGGAGCGAAAGUGUGGGGAGCGAACAGG
rnacentral:rRNA from 1 species